rnacentral:rRNA from 1 species
CCUACGGGGGGCAGCAGUGGGGAAUAUUGCACAAUGGGCGAAAGCCUGAUGCAGCAACGCCGCGUGAGCGAUGAAGGUCUUCGGGUCGUAAAGCUCUGUCCUAAGGGAAGAAUACUGACGGUACCUUAGGAGGAAGCCCCGGCUAACUACGUGCCAGCAGCCGCGGUAAUACGUAGGGGGCUAGCGUUAUCCGGAAUUACUGGGCGUAAAGGGUGCGUAGGCGGCCCUUCAAGUCAGAGGUGAAAGGCUACGGCUCAACCGUAGUAAGCCUUUGAAACUGUAGGGCUUGGGUGCAGGGGAGGGGGGUGGAAUUCCCAGGGGAGGGGUGGAAUGCGUAGAUAUUUGGAGGAACACCAGGUGCGAAGGCGGCUCUCUGGACUGUAACUGACGCUGAGGCACGAAAGUGUGGGGAGCGAACAGGAUUAGAUACCCUAGUAGUC